rnacentral:rRNA from 1 species
CAACCAGACUCCUACGGGAGGCAGCAGUGGGGAAUAUUGCACAAUGGGGGAAACCCUGAUGCAGCGACGCCGCGUGAGUGAAGAAGUAAUUCGUUAUGUAAAGCUCUAUCAGCAGGGAAGAAAAUGACGGUACCUGAGUAAGAAGCCCCGGCUAACUACGUGCCAGCAGCCGCGGUAAUACGUAGGGGGCAAGCGUUAUCCGGAUUUACUGGGUGUAAAGGGAGCGUAGACGGCGAUGCAAGCCAGAUGUGAAAGCCCGGGGCUCAACCCCGGGACUGCAUUUGGAACUGGCUGGCUGGAGUGUCGGAGAAGCAAGUGGAAUUCCUAGUGUAGCGGUGAAAUGCGUAGAUAUUAGGAGGAACACCAGUGGCGAAGGCGGCUUGCUGGACGAUGACUGACGUUGAGGCUCGAAAGCGUGGGGAGCAAACAGGAUUAGAUACCCUUGUAU